rnacentral:rRNA from 1 species
AGUAAAAGUCGUAACAAGGUCUCCGUUGGUGAACCAGCGGAGGGAUCAUUACUGAGUUUACGCUCUACAACCCUUUGUGAACAUACCUAUAACUGUUGCUUCGGCGGGUAGGGUCUCCGCGACCCUCCCGGCCUCCCGCCUCCGGGCGGGUCGGCGCCCGCCGGAGGAUAACCAAACUCUGAUUUAACGACGUUUCUUCUGAGUGGUACAAGCAAAUAAUCAAAACUUUUAACAACGGAUCUCUUGGUUCUGGCAUCGAUGAAGAACGCAGCGAAAUGCGAUAAGUAAUGUGAAUUGCAGAAUUCAGUGAAUCAUCGAAUCUUUGAACGCACAUUGCGCCCGCCAGCAUUCUGGCGGGCAUGCCUGUUCGAGCGUCAUUUCAACCCUCAAGCUCUGCUUGGUGUUGGGGCCCUACAGCCGAUGUAGGCCCUCAAAGGUAGUGGCGGACCCUCCCGGAGCCUCCUUUGCGUAGUAACUUUACGUCUCGCACUGGGAUCCGGAGGGACUCUUGCCGUAAAACCCCCCAAUUUUCCAAAGGUUGACCUCGGAUCAGGUAGGAAUACCCGCUGAACUUAAGCAUAUCA